rnacentral:lncRNA from 1 species
UAUUCAAUCAGGCCAUAUAGCAAGAGGAGCACAAAAUCAAUGACAGCGAGCUGAGCAUAGUCAAGGGGUUACGAACAAUGAUGAAAUUUUCAGGGUGCAAAGUUUAUCAGUACAUUGGUAUCAGAGACUGCUCAUUUCUUUUUCUUUCUUUCUUUCUUUUGUAUUUUUGUUUAGAUUUUCCAUAAUACAAUUUAAUUUAAAAAAAAGAGAAAUAAUACAUGUCAGGGAACUGACAUCGGAGCUAGAGGCGGAGGGAAGGCUCUCAAAUGAUGCUGGAGAAGGGCCCAGCAGGGAGAGAGGCAGCUCAGCAGAUGGGGAAGCAAAUCAGCGCAACACCAGGGAUAAAGGGGGGCAGAUGGGGGAAUCGGCGAGAGGGCUCCAGGACUCUUCACCGGACACCAGCGGGGAGAGCACAGGUCCUCCGCUACCCACGCCCUCCCUGCGCAGAAGACUUCCGCGCAGGGAGAGUAGGAGGAGACUUGGCGUCAAACAACUUUUAUGUUGGAAAAGGUUUAAGAAACACCCACUGACGGAUUCUGCUAGCGACUGAGGCAGCCACGAAGUGAAGGGCUGUCCAGACAGAAAGGUUUAACAAGGCAACAUAGCCAGGAGAGGCGGCAACUUACGCACAAGCAACCCAUACUCAUUACAAUACAUAACAGAAAAGAAACAUUAAAUCAUUAUACAAUAUCCAAAAAAGAAAAGAAAAAACAUAAACAAAAUAAAAGAAACCCACCACCCUGUUUAACUUCCCUCCACCGCUACUCGUCUUCUCUAGAAUCAAUUUUACCUUUAUCGUUGCAUUCUGAUUGUUUUUAUUUUCUCUACAUACAUACAUAUGUCAUUGAUAAUUUAUUGUUUUGAUGCAUUUACAUUCUUAAUUGAAGCAUAUUAGCAUGUCUUUUUUUCUAAAGGGAAUUCAUUAAUGCAUGAAACAUUAUUUAAAAACAAUGAAAUAUUACUAUCUAAAAUAUAUAACCUUUUGCUAGAUUUGGACAGGAUUGACAAGGAAGUGAAAAAGACAAUGAUUAAAUGGGUGCAAAAUUCGGCCACACAAUAUAUUUAGAGCAAUGGGAGAAACUUUGGCAGGAAGAUAUAAGGUUUACCGCCUGUAGUACAAUAAAAGAAAAUUUCAUCAAAAUGUUCUACAGGUGGUAUUUAACCCCAGUCAAAUUAGCAAAAAUCUAUCAACUGAAAUCCAACCUUUGUUGGAAAUGCAACAAGGAAGCUGGUACAACAAUGCCUGUGUGGUGGAGUUGCACCCCGAUUAAGUACUUCUGGGGAGAAAUACAUGAGGAGUUGAAAAAAAUGAUUAAAAUCCCAUUAACGAAAAAACCAGAGGCUUACCUACUGGGCCUUUUAGAAAAAUAAAUACCAAAAUGGAAAAAAGAAUUUUCUUAUAUGCGACCACUGCAGCUAGGAUAGUAAUAGCAUCUAAAUGGAAAGCUAAAGAACUACCUACCGAGGAGGAAUGGAUUCUCAAAUUAAAUGAAUAUUUUAAAUUGGCUAAAUUAACAGCAUCCAUACGACAGAAGUCAAAUCAAAAACUAAAUGAAUGGCAAUGCUUUGAUGAUUAUAUGUGUGCUGGUCCUGGGGGGUUACCGUGCGGCAUGGUCCGAGUCCAUUCCGAGGUCGAGGGUGUGGUAUGGGGGCUGUCCGUCAAAGCUGUAGCUGGGUCCAAGGCAAGGAGUCGGGCGAGGUCAGGAACUCUGGCAGAAGAGCAGGACAGGGUGCCAGCAGGAACAGCUUACCAACAAUGUUGCUCCCGCAACCUGGGUCUGGGCUGGCUGGCUUUUAUCUCCACUGAGGCAUAGGGUGGCCCCGGUCCACAGGUGACUCGCCUCUCCUGGCCUGGAGGCGAGCACUCCUCCUGCGGGAACUUAGUUCCCUCUGCCUCUCUGCCCUGAGCCUCUGCAACUCAGGAGAGGCUGGAGGGUUACUGGACCCAGAGGCAACCUCACCUUCCCCUGACGGGGCUGAGAGUGGAGCACCUGCAGGCAAUGGGUCCUCAAUCACCUGCAGAGACAGAGCAGAUUCAGCUGGGGAAUCCGGCACAAGUGAGGAUCCGGCACAAGUGAUUGCCCUUCAGGUUCAAGCCCCAGUCCCGGCUCAGCUGGUCCUGGAGACGGGGACUUCUGUGCAGGCUGGGAUUCCUCAGGUUCAGCCUCUGAAUCCGAUUCCCAGGCCAUCACAAUAUGACAAAAUAUUGCUCCAACAGAGACUGCUCAUUGUUAGGAUAUUUCCGUUCCACCUUAGAAGGGAGCAGGCUUUGUGAGUCACAGAGUCUGCGCAUUUCCUGUUCACAGGAAGUUUAUGUUUUCUAUUGCUUUCGUUUCUCUCUCUGUGUCAGAGACACUGAAGCAGGCAGUCAUGUUUUUCUUUGUUCUGAUCAAUGCUGAAUAAAACUUGUAAAUAAUGCUCUCCUGAGUGUGACUUCUGCUGUGCAUUAUCUGCUGAUAGAGAGCGUGCAUCGGCUCUAGAAUGUGGCAGGCUAUUUCUGGAGCUCAUGUCGCUAAUUAGGAGCAAAAAGCCUUUUCUUGUGUGUGUGUGUUUCUUUGUGGCUGAUUAGCUGCUCUCCCUGUGCAAAGGUCAGAGGGGGCAGGGUUUCUGUUGAGGCAGGUGAUUAGCUGUGGGAGGAGCUUAUCAGAGCUUGCAGGGCAGCGGCGCGCGCAGUUUGAUCCAUCUUUUAGAUUUAGGGGAGCUAGUCUCAGACGUUUGUUGGGGGAGACCUAGGUUUUUGGGGGGGGGGAGUUAUUUGUCCUGUCUUCACGCUUUUUAUGAUGGAGGACCGCUGUAGCCACCCCCAACGACACGUUCUCAAGAUGGAGGGGCGGGAACAGCUGCAGUCGCCUGCGGUUCCUGCGCAAUGUUUGCCAUCUUGCCAAAGGUUGCAGGCAGCUUUACCUGCAGCAAUUGCAUGUUGAUUGCCCUCUUAAAAGACAAAGUCCAGCAACUGGAGGAACGUGUAGCUACGCUCCAAAGAAUUAGAGAGCUGGAGCUCUUCUUGGAAGCAACAGAGCACACCGUCUCCACCAAGGAGGAGACAGGGGACUCCCUGAGAAGGAGGCUAGUUCACCAACACAGGAGCCAGAUAUAUGGAGAAACGUGACUCAAAGAAGUAGGAGGCCCAGGGUUCGCUCUGAUUGUUUAGAAAUACACAAUCGCUUUGAGGUCCUCUCCCUAGCAUGGAAGACGAAGAGCAGACUCCAUUUGAGGAUCUCUCCUCAUUACAGUCGAUCAGGUAUAUGAAGACGAGCAGCAAAGUCAGUCCUCAGGGAAUGUGCAGGCGACCUUGGAACGGACAGCUCACGGAAGAACCCUGACCAAACCUAAGAGGAGGCGUGUAGUGGUGAUAGGGGAUUCCCUACUGAGGGGAACAGAAGCAGUGAUCUGUGGGCCUGACAAGAUGUCUCGGGAAGUGUGCUGUCUCCCCGGGCUAAGAUCCAAGAUGUAACUGAACGACUGCAAGGAAUCAUAAAACCCACUGACAAAUACCCCUUCCUCUUGGUUCAUGUGGGAACCAAUGACACUGCAAGCAAUAGCCUGCAGAAGAUCAAAAGAGACUACGAGGCUCUGGGCAGGAAACUGAAGCAAUUAAAUGCACAAAUUGUCAUCUCAUCUGUCCUCCCAGUUGAACGACGUGGCCCAGGGAGAGAGGAAAAAUAGUGGAAGUGAACAGCUGGCUUCGCAAAUGGUGUAAACAGGAACGGUUUGGAUUCUUAGAUCACGGACUGCAGUUUCUUGAAGAUGGACUUCUGGCAAGCGAUGGGCUGCACCUCACAACGGUUGGGAGGAAUGUUUUUGCCAAAAAUCUCAGAAACCUCAUGAGGAGGGCUUUAAACUGCCUAACGAGGGGGAGGGAGACAGUGCUCCUGAAGGUAGGAGUCUAUCAAUUGAUGAAGAUGAUCAUCCAAAUGUCAUAGACCAAAUGGAGCAAACAGCACGCAGACCUAGUGGUGGGAGGAUAAAAUCCUUAAAUAAGAGACACGGGGGAAUGAUUAAUGGACUUCAAUGUCUGUACACUAAUGCGCAAAGCAUGGGAAAUAAACAAGAUGAGCUUGAGCUCUUGGUAUAGCAAACUAAAUAUGACAUAAUAGGCAUCACUGAAACCUGGUGGGAUAGGUCCCACGAUUGGAAUGUAAUAAUGGGAGGAUACGAUCUAUUUCAGAGAAACAGACCAGACAAGAAAGGAGGAGGAGUGGCGUUAUAUGUCAGGGAUGUGUAUACCUGUGAAGAGAUCCAAGAUUUAGAACCUCAAAGCCAAAGUGAGAGCAUUUGGGUCAAAAUUAAGGGAGAGAAGAAUAACAGUGACCUCAUUGUGGGAGUUUACUAUAGAUCCCCAAGCCAAAUGGAGGACAUAGAUGAUGCCUUCCUGGAACAGAUGGCCAAGCAUGCAAAAGGAAGGGAGAUAGUAGUAAUGGAGGACUUCAAUUACCCGGAUAUUUGUUGGAUGUCAAACUCAGCCAAGAGCAUAAGUUCAAACAGAUUCCUCACUGGCCUUGCAGACCACUUCAUUGUCCAGAAAGUGGGAGAAGCAACAAGAGGAACAGCCAUUUUAGAUCUGGUCCUAACCAAUGUUGAUGACCUGGUUAGUGGGGUAGAAGUGGAAGGAUCAUUAGGCGCGAGUGAUCAUGCUCUUCUGAAGUUUACUAUACAGAGGAAAGGAGCAGCCAAGCAUACUAGGACUCAAUUUCUUGACUUUUAGAAAGCCGACUUCAUAAAAUAUAGGGAAGUGCUGGGUGAGAUCCCAUGGACAGUAAUACUAAAAGGAAAGGGAGUUCAUGAUGGCUGGGAGUUUGUUAAGAGGGAGAUACUAAAAGCACAACGUCAGGCAAUACCAAUGAGACGGAAACAUGGAAGGUGCCUAAAGAAGCCAGGGUGGCUAUCUAAAGAACUUUUAACUGAGUUAAGAU